rnacentral:rRNA from 1 species
AUUGAACGCUGGCGGCAGGCCUAACACAUGCAAGUCGAGCGAGCGGCGGACGGGUGAGUAAUGUCUGGGAAACUGCCUGAUGGAGGGGGAUAACUAAUGGAAACGGUAGCUAAUCCCGCAUACCAUCAGAUGUGCCCAGAUGGGAGUAGCUAGUAGUUGGGGUAAAGGCUCACCUAGGCGACACUCCCUAGCUGGUCUGAGAGGAUGAGCAGCCACACUGGAACUGAGACACGGUCCAGACUCCUACGGGAGGCAGCAGUGGGGAAUAUUGCACAAUGGGCGCAAGCAUGAUGCAGCCAUGCCGCGUGUGUGAAGAAGGCCUUCGGGUUGUAAAGCACUUUCAGCGGGGAGGCGUUACCCGCAGAAGAAGCACCGGCUAACUCCGUGCCAGCAGCCGCGGUAAUUC